rnacentral:rRNA from 1 species
GCGCGAAAACUCCGCAAUGCGCGAAAGCGUGACGGGGCUAUCCCGAGUGCCAUCCGCUGAGGGCGGCUUUUGUUUGGUGUAAUAAGUCAAACGAAUAAGGGGAGGGCAAGCCUGGUGUCAGCCGCCGCGGUAAUACCAGCUCCCCGAGUGGUUGGGACGAUUAUUGGGUCUAAAGCGUCCGUAGCCUGUUGGAGAAGUUCUCCGUUAAAUCCAACGAUUUAAUCGUUGGGCCGCGGGGAUUACUCUCUAGCUUGGGGGCGGAGGAUGUCGACGGUAGUCCCGGGGUAGGGGCGAAAUCCUAUAAUCCCGGGAGGACCACCAGUGGCGAAGGCGGUCGACAAAUACGCGCCCGACGGUGAGGGACGAAAGCUGGGGGAGCGAACGGGAUUAGAUACCCCGGUAGUCCCAGCUGUAAACGAUGCAGGCUAGGUGUUAGGACGGCUACGGGCCGUUCUAGUGCCGCAGGGAAGCCGUUAAGUCUGCCACCUGGGAAGUACGGUCGCAAGGCUGAAACUUAAAGGAAUUGGCGGGGGAGCACCACAAGGGGUGAAGCCUGCGGUUUAAUUGG